CCUACGGGAGGCAGCAGUGGGGGAUAUUGCACAAUGGGGGAAACCCUGAUGCAGCGACGCCGCGUGGGUGAAGAAGCGCCUCGGCGCGUAAAGCCCUGUCAGCAGGGAAGAAAAUGACGGUACCUGAAGAAGAAGCCCCGGCUAACUACGUGCCAGCAGCCUCGGUAAUACGUAGGGGGCAAGCGUUAUCCGGAUUUACUGGGUGUAAAGGGGGCGCAGACGGGGAUGCAAGCCAGGAGUGAAAGCCCGGGGCCCACCCCCGGGACUGCCCUUGGAACUGCGUGGCUAGAGUGCAGGAGGGGCAGGAGGAAUGCCUGGUGUAGCGGUGAAAUGCGUAGAUAUCAGGAGGAACACCGGUGGCGAAGGCGGCCUGCUGGACUGCAACUGACGUUGAGGCCCGAAAGCGUGGGGAGCAAACAGGAUUAGAUACCCCUGUAGUC
rnacentral:rRNA from 1 species